AGAGUGAUUCAGGUAUGAUAGCUUCCAAAAUACUGGAGAAUUGUCCUGGAUCAAAUCAAAUUGAAUGCAUAACAUGUAAAAAGUAUAUUAGGAAAUUAAAGAGUGGUAGCAUGUAUAUGCCCAUUUUUAAAGCUGAAAUAUGAUCACUGAAUUUGCACAUGAUCAAAGGGUUGCUGGAGAAGAGUAAACAAGGACUCAUCAGUUAAGGGAAGCAAUCAUUGCCUUGAGAGGCCACAUGGUUGUGGGGCUCACUGUUCCAUCCUAGCACCAGAGCUCUACACAUGGGCAGUGAUGGCUGUUCCCACUCCAAUGUGAUGGCCGUACUGAGCAAUCUUGGGUCCUGAUCAGUAACAUAACCCACUGUCUCUGCUUUCCUGCUUGAGAAAUGUACUGAGUCCCCUACAUGGACAGAUUCUUCCAAACAACUUGCUAGCUCUCAGAAUGUGUUUCUUAGUGAGGCCUACUUGAUCUGCCUGUCUGGGUAAGAGAGGUUCUAUUUGCCAUUACACUUAAGACUUAAUUCCUGCUCCCAGGGAACCUGUAGAUGGUAAGAGAGUUAACCAGAUAAUCAAGUAAUAUGAUAGUGUUACAACAGAAGUAGAUACUUGGUAUUGGGGGAGAGUAUCAGAGGUGUUAUUUAGAAGAGUAUUGGAAAGGCGAGGUACCCCAACUUUUUUCUGGGAGAGCUUAGCUCAAGAAGGAGAUGCAUGAAGGCUUGAUUCGAUUGACAGUGGAAAACUAACAAACCUACCUUCCCACCCCUCAAAAAGAUUAGAAACUAGCUUGGAGGUCACUAGGAAGACAUAGUUUUACUAAUUGAAUUGAUAUUUCACCUAUAAUAUCAAUAAAUUUGCUUCAGAAAUAAGUUGUAUGAUUUCAGUCUUGUUUUAUUUUCUAGGGAAAAGCUUUAAAAUCAUUAGUUUACGUAGUAUUGAACCUAAAUACAUAGUAUUAAAAAUUUAUUUAUUUGCUGGGUAUUGUCAUGGUUACACCUUUAACCAGAUUUUUUUUUAUCUCUCAUCUUUAUUUUUUUACCUUUUAUUUUUUUUUCUACUCUACAGAUGGUGACCCAGUUACACAUACCUGUAUACAUUCUUUUUUCUCACAUUAUCAUGUUCCAUCAUAAGUGACUAGACAUAGUUCCCAGUGCUACACAGCAGGAUCUCAUUGCUAAUCCAUUCCAAAGGCAAUAGUCUGCAUCUAUUAACCCCAAGCUCCAAUCCAUCCCACUCCCUCCCCCUCGGCAAUUUAUAUGACUAUCAGGCUAAAUAAAGCAAGCAGAUAUAUAACCAGAGAUUUUAAAGGCCAUGUUUAUUUAUUGCUGCUUUGUUUAUCCUGGGCUGCUCUUAGAAAGCCUCGCAGUUUUCAAAGGGUUUAGUGAUAUUAUUUAAUCAUGGGGUUUUGGUAAAUUUUUUCUUUAUGGAAAAAAUUAUUUCUUUAUGUAAAUAAGGAGAGUGCCUGGAACCAUCUUGGUCACUGUGGGUGUUUUGUUUAUAAGCAACACAAAGUUUUGUGGUUUGAAGUUUAUUUAUGGCUCAUUAAGCCAUCCUUUCAGCUCUAAAAAAGUUCCGAGAAAUAAACUUAGUGAGAAAAAAAUAGAAAAUGAUUUUUAAAGCACUUAUUUCAGGUCAUCUGCUUUCUACUCUGCAAUCCAUUAGUGUGUAAAUGGAUUUAGAUUUUUAAAAGAUACAAAAAAAGGGGGGCAUUAGAGAUUAUGUACAUGUCAGUCCCUCAUUUUACAAAUUAUCUCAGCAAUUCAAAGUCAAUCCAGGCAGAGGCAGGAGGAGCUGUACCAUCAAGAUCACUGACUCCCUGUCUUCAGGGCUUUUCUUCACAACAAAUUGUCAUUCCUGAUUAGGGAGGAAAGACAAGUAAAGCGGACUCUUUGGCUUUUAUUUUAGAGCUUCUGAAAGUUAUAUGAAAGAUAGGACUUUGACAAGUUCAUUCAAGGGUAAAUCACUCUAAGAAAAGCUUAUAGACACAAAUUUUAGAGGGUGAUUAUUCAUACACAUUAAAAAAAAUAACAAAACUUCUGUCAAUAAAUCUUUGCCCUUUGGGAGCUUAAUAUUUGUAUUUUUGACCCUGUAGGCCCAUAACAUGGUCUACAGCAAGAACUGUGUCUAUUCAAUAUGGCUAUACUUUUCUCUACUUAUCUUUGAAUACACAAUUAAUCUUCUAAGAAUAUUAUUUGUGGAAUUUCGAACCCCAAAGAGGAUCCAUCUUUUAAUGUUCAGAGUGAAAAUGAAAAGAGGGUAAGGGGAUCUAAAAAAUAAUUCUUUUUAGCAUUAAAAUAUUUUUAAAUUAUUUUAUUCUGAUUUUUUAAUUCAUCAGAAGCCAAGUGGUAUUUCUAACAUUUUUAGUUAUGGGGGAAAUAAUAUGCCAUAAAGUUAUUGUGAAUUUGCCAAGAUCCGAAUCUUUUUCUCCCUCUUAAAUAUAAACAUUCAUUAUUUUUAUAAUAGUAAUGAGAUAAUUUUUUGUUUUUCACACAAUUAAAAGAUAAUGACUGUUUAAUAGAGGCAGAUCUGUAUAAAGAUAGAUCUGCAAAGCACCGUUUAUAGAAUAUCAUCUUACUGAAGCAGUUGCCGGGAUGGGCAUAAAACAUGCAAUUUUUUGUUGUUGUUUGCCAUUAUUCUUAAUUUAAAAAAAAUUUUUUUUAACUGAGGCUAAAACCACAAUUAACCAGAAUGUUAUCCCACUCUGCUUUUAGGUGAAAGGGUAAAAUGACGAAAAAAGGUGAAUAGGCAAUGUUUGCAAAUAUUCAAGUAAAUUUCUUAAAUAUACCAUCCCAAGCAUGUAUUUAAUCUCUUAUAAUUUGCAUGCACAUAUCUUUAAAAGUAGGAUUGAAUUUCAUGAAAAAAAUUACUUUUAGUCACUGUAGCAUCUUGAUUAUCAGUAAAAUAUUCAGUACACUUAAUGCAAGCUAUAAACCAAUGCAUUUUAGACAAAAUUUUAAUUAUAAUUUAAUAUAGCUUUUUGUCGUAUAAUGUUUUAUCAAAAAUAACAUUAGCCAGUAUAAAAAUAAUAUGGGAAAUGUUAGAUUUUCUUGAUCACGUAGAGAUUUUUAAUAGUUUGUCAUCACUAUAGAAAUAAUCUAGAAAAAUAAUUCCUCUUCAUUUAAAAGGAAAAGUAUUAUCUUUAUUGUUGUUCAUGUGAAACAUAUAAUCUCCUUUUGAACUAACUUUGGGAACU
rnacentral:lncRNA from 1 species